AUUAAUUAUUCCUUGCUCUAAUAAAACACACCCAAUUUCAGACAGCGUGCAUGUAAACGGCAGCUCAAGUUAGUCCUCUGAGGUUAUACAGUUUCUAUAUUCAUUGCUGGUCUACUCACCAUUACAGCUUGAUAGGAGGCUACGUGUGCAUCAUUAGCACCCUCCGGCUUCUGCUGUAGUGGGGCACAUACAGGAUGAAGCCUUGUCCUCCAUUCAGCGGUGUGCAGAACCUUCAAGGCCGGCUAUUCUUGUCUGUGCUUCCCGCUGUGGCCUAGAAAAAGUCAGCAAUGAGGUUUGGUUUCUGGAGCCUUUCUGAAAUGGAUUCCUGUGCUUUCUGAAGCUGUUGAGGCUAACAAGCUGGGAAUCCCAAGGUCGCUCCCUCUUAAGGGAAGAAGUGUGGGGUCCCCUCCUGCUUCUCUCCAUAAACCCUGUGGGUCCUCAGACCUGCUGCCUUCAUUCCAUGGCCAGCAAGCAGGGAAGCAUGCACAGAGCAAAGAGUGGCUCCUUCAUGUGACUCAGAGGUGAACCAAAGGGAAACAUUCUGAUGGGAUUAUAGCUGCCUUUGUUAGGGCAGAAAAAUGUGUAGUGUGUCAGGCAAGGGCUUGUCUGCCAGUUGCUUCCUUGAGCUCGUGCAGCAAGAAGAUGGCAGGCUGAGGCACUGAGCUCCUUGCUCCCAGCUCCCUGUGCAGCACUAACAGAAAAGCACCCCCACGUCUGCCCAAACCAAACAGACAUCAGAGGUUCACCUAUCACGACGCAGAAUGCAUCUCCAGUGACAAAACUAAUAACUGGUAAUUAGCCAGCACUUCCAAAACCACUCUGGGCUGGUGAAUAACUGCUGGAAAACGCAAAUGUGAUAUGAAGCCGGAGUAAUUUGUGGGCAGGGGGGUCAGGGUGAGAUUGUGGUGGUGCAAAUGGGUUGGGACCUGAGCCUGUCAGUGAACAGCCGUUAGUGUGGCUGGAGAUGCCUCGUGGCUUAGGUUGGGACCCUAAACCAUUCGUUACUUGGGUGCUAGACUUGGUAACUUGACUCAGAGCGUAUUGUUCCCAAUCAUAGUCUGUAGCUAUCUCUCCACAUAACUUGCAGAAGGUACAAAUCCCUUAGGGAUAGUCAGAGCCAGAGAAAUAUGAAAAAACCUAAAUCACAUGGGGUAAAGGAGGCAGAUGAAUAACUGUUGGCCAAGGCAGGCUGAUAAAAUACUGAAAUUCAAACAAUAUCAUUUGGUCGGGUCUAGGUGACUUAAAAUGACUCAGACACCUGGUUCUUGCUUUGGUUUGCCUGAUUGAAAAUGAGAACAGCAAUAAACCCCCCACCUUUAUGCACACACAAAUUAUAUUGGAUAAGUACAUAUGGAAUAGUAACUUAAUAUUUUUGAUGUGACAGCUACCUGCGGUAUUGUGAACGAUCUCAUUAUGCCAUUCCUAAAACACAGCAGAAGGGGAAGAGCCUCAGAGCUCUGCAGUGAAAAUAGAUUUAUGGGCAGUGGCCAUGUGGGAAGAGUGUUCAGGACUGCCAGGUAUGGGAAGAAGAUCCAUAAACAAAGGUGUUCUGGAGAUAUUUGAAAUAAUGAGCUGCAUAGGAAGAAUCAAUCAGAUGUUCCUGUUUGUUCUUUAUCGUAACACGAGAACAAAGGAAUAGUUGAUCAAAAUGACAAAUUUAAUAUUUUGUUUUAUAACAGGCUAAUCGUAGAACAACAUUGGAGGCUUUUUACAGGUGUGGGUAAUGAGAACCUGUCGUGCUGUAUUUGUUUUAAAAUGAAGCAAGGAGAUGAAUCCUCCUUGAAAGCAAAAAUGUGAUCCAAAUAGCUUGGCUGCUGGGAGAAGCUUCUGUGAUGGGAAGGUUAUUCUCCGUUAUUCUCCGUUUUGCUGUGAUUGUUGCACCUUCGUAUGAUGUAUUUUUCCCCAACUGAUUUAAAGAGCCUUUUAUAGAUCACAUAAGUCAUUGAAAUGAUUCAUCAUUGCAAUUCUUUUAUUACCACACAAUCCUUUUCAUUAUAUGUUAUUUUGAUUGAUCCUGAUGAAGUUCUUACUCGUGUUCCCGGAGGGCACACACAGUGCCUACCCAGCACAAACCUCCCGGAGUUAAUUGAGCCAUUCAACCCCUUUUGCUGUGUGCAAGAGAUACUUAGGCUAGGCAUUAGCAAGACCAUCUAUCUCUAUUACCAAGACAUCUGGUAUUUUAAACAGACCUGCUUACAUUCCUCUUUUUAGCAUUUAGCAAAAAUAAAGCUAUUACUGCUUCACCAGGAAGCUUAACCUUGUCCACAUAUAACU